rnacentral:rRNA from 1 species
GCGUAACACGUGGGCAAUCUGCCCUCCGAUGGGGAAUAACUCCGGGAAACCGAAGCUAAUUCCGCAUAACAUUCCCUGGACUCCGGUUCGGGGACUCAAAGCAGUGAUGCGUCGGAGGAGGAGCCCGCGCCCGAUUAGCUAGUUGGUGAGGUAAUGGCUCACCAAGGCAAUGAUCGGUAGCUGGUCUGAGAGGAUGGCCAGCCACACUGGAACUGAGACACGGUCCAGACUCCUACGGGAGGCAGCAGUGGGGAAUCUUGCGCAAUGGGCGAAAGCCUGACGCAGCGACGCCGCGUGGGGGAUGAAGCUUCUCGGAGUGUAAACCCCUUUCGACCGGGACGAAUGCCCGCAAGGGAGUGACGGUACCGGUAGAAGAAGCCCCGGCUAACUACGUGCCAGCAGCCGCGGUAAGACGUAGGGGGCCAGCGUUGUUCGGAAUUACUGGGUGUAAAGGGUUCGUAGGCGGUGUGGCAAGUCGGGAGUGAAAUCUUUGGGCUUAACUCAAAGGCUGCUUCCGAAACUGCUGUGCUCGAGUGUGGGAGAGGCGCGUGGAAUUGCACGUGUAGCGGUGAAAUGC